GUGCCCGAUGUCCCUGUCUAAACAAGCGCUGUGCUGCUGUUGGAUUUAAGGAAACAGCAUCGGUCGCAGGCAUCUCGAUGCCUGAAGUACACGACUAAGUGAAGUGCUGCUGUUGGAUUUAGAAAACAGCAUGGUCGCAGACAUCCCGGUGCCUGAUGUCCCUGUCUAAGCGAAGCGCUGGGGUUGUAGUGAGGAAACGCCAUGGUUGCUGGUAUCACUGUGCCCGAUGUUCCCGUCUAAGCGGAACACUGGUUGGAGUUAGAAAACCACAUGGGUCGCAGGCAUCCCGAAAUGGCAUGGUUGCUGGCAUCCCGGUGCCUGAUGUCCCUGUCUAAACGAAAU